UCAUCGGCCCCUGCCCGCCCCCAGCAUGUCGAGGAGGGGAGGAGUAUUUUUAGUUCCAUCUUGAAGACGGGCACAGGAAUGGAGAAUAACUGCCUGAAAGCACCAUCCCUGGUCUGAGCGGCCCUUGGAAAGGCUCAGCCUGGCCAGGCCUUGCUGCUUCCCAUAACAGUUACAAGCACUGGCUCUGCCAUCGGAGAUGAAAGGGUACACGUGGGGUUCUCCGACCUUCCAGCCGUGUGACCUCGGACUGUGAGUGGACCUCUGGGCCUUGGUUUCUG
rnacentral:lncRNA from 1 species